UACGUAGGGUGCAAGCGUUGUCCGGAAUUAUUGGGCGUAAAGAGCUCGUAGGCGGUUUGUCGCGUCGAAUGUGAAAACCCGGGGCUCAACUCCGGGCCUGCAUUCGAUACGGGCAGACUAGAGUUCGGUAGGGGAGUCUGGAAUUCCUGGUGUAGCGGUGGAAUGCGCAGAUAUCAGGAGGAACACCAAUAGCGAAGGCAGCUCGCUGGGACGGUACUGACGCUAAGGCGCGAAAGCGUGGGGAGCGAACAGG
rnacentral:rRNA from 1 species